rnacentral:rRNA from 1 species
GACGAACGCUGGCGGCGUGCUUAACACAUGCAAGUCGAACGGAAAGGCCCUGCUUUUGUGGGGUGCUCGAGUGGCGAACGGGUGAGCAACACGUGAGUAACCUGCCCUUGACUUUGGGAUAACUUCAGGAAACUGGGGCUAAUACCGGAUAGGAGCUCCUGCUGCAUGGUGGGGGUUGGAAAGUUUCGGCGGUUGGGGAUGGACUCGCGGCUUAUCAGCUUGUUGGUGGGGUAGUGGCUUACCAAGGCUUUGACGGGUAGCCGGCCUGAGAGGGUGACCGGCCACAUUGGGACUGAGAUACGGCCCAGACUCCUACGGGAGGCAGCAGUGGGGAAUAUUGCACAAUGGGCGGAAGCCUGAUGCAGCAACGCCGCGUGCGGGAUGACGGCCUUCGGGUUGUAAACCGCUUUCGCCUGUGACGAAGCGUGAGUGACGGUAAUGGGUAAAGAAGCACCGGCUAACUACGUGCCAGCAGCCGCGGUGAUACGUAGGGUGCGAGCGUUGUCCGGAUUUAUUGGGCGUAAAGGGCUCGUAGGUGGUUGAUCGCGUCGGAAGUGUAAUCUUGGGGCUUAACCCUGAGCGUGCUUUCGAUACGGGUUGACUUGAGGAAGGUAGGGGAGAAUGGAAUUCCUGGUGGAGCGGUGGAAUGCGCAGAUAUCAGGAGGAACACCAGUGGCGAAGGCGGUUCUCUGGGCCUUUCCUGACGCUGAGGAGCGAAAGCGUGGGGAGCGAACAGGCUUAGAUACCCUGGUAGUCCACGCUGUAAACGGUGGGUACUAGGUGUGGGGUCCAUUCCACGGGUUCCGUGCCGUAGCUAACGCUUUAAGUACCCCGCCUGGGAAGUACGGCCGCAAGGCUAAAACUCAAAGGAAUUGACGGGGCCCCGCACAAGCGGCGGAGCAUGCGGAUUAAUUCGAUGCAACGCGUAGAACCUUACCUGGGUUUGACAUGGAUCGGGAGUGCUCAGAGAUGGGUGUGCCUCUUUUGGGGUCGGUUCACAGGUGGUGCAUGGCUGUCGUCAGCUCGUGUCGUGAGAUGUUGGGUUAAGUCCCGCAACGAGCGCAACCCUUGUUCACUGUUGCCAGCACGUUAUGGUGGGGACUCAGUGGAGACCGCCGGGGUCAACUCGGAGGAAGGUGGGGAUGACGUCAAGUCAUCAUGCCCCUUAUGUCCAGGGCUUCACGCAUGCUACGAUGGCUGGUACAGAGAGUGGCGAGCCUGUGAGGGUGAGCGAAUCUCGGAAAGCCGGUCUCAGUUCGGAUUGGGGUCUGCAACUCGACCUCAUGAAGUCGGAGUCGCUAGUAAUCGCAGAUCAGCAACGCUGCGGUGAAUACGUUCCCGGG